GUGAUGGAGGUAGAUAUGUAUAGGGGUAAGGGGACAGGGAUACUGGAGUGAUGGAGGUAGAUAUGUAUAGGGGUAGGGGGACAGGGAUACUGGAGUGAUGGAGGUAGAUAUGUAUAGGGUAAGGUGACAGGGAUACUGGAGUGAUGGAGGUAGAUAUGUAGAGGAGACAGGGGUACUGGAGUGAUGGAGGUAGAUAUGUAUAGGAGACAGGGAUACUGGAGUGAUGGAGGUAGAUAUGUAUAAGGGGGAGGGGACAGGAAUACUGUAGUGAUGGAGGUAGAUAUGUAUGGGGGAAGGGGACAGGGAUACUGGAGUGAUGGACGUAGAUAUGUAUAGAGGACAGGGAUACUGGAGUGAUGGAGGUAGAUAUGUAUAGGAGACAGGGAUACUGGAGUGAUGGAGGUAGAUAUGUAUAGGAGACAGGGAUACUGGAGUGAUGGAGGUAGAUAUGUAUAGGGGUAAGGUGACAGGGAUACUGGAGUGAUGGAGGUAGAUAUGUAUAGGGGUAAGGAGACAGG
ensembl:lncRNA